rnacentral:tRNA from 1 species
GGGGAUUUAGCUCAGUGGUAGAGCGCUUGCCUAGCAAGCGAGCAAGGCCCUGGGUUCGGUCCCCAGCUCCA